rnacentral:rRNA from 1 species
GAUGAACGCUGGCGGCGUGCCUAAUACAUGCAAGUCGAGCGAACGGACGAGAAGCUUGCUUCUCUGAUGUUAGCGGCGGACGGGUGAGUAACACGUGGAUAACCUACCUAUAAGACUGGGGUAACUUCGGGAAACCGGAGCUAAUACCGGAUAAUAUUUUGAACCGCAUGGUUCAAAAGUGAAAGACGGUCUUGCUGUCACUUAUAGAUGGAUCCGCGCUGCAUUAGCUAGUUGGUAAGGUAACGGCUUACCAAGGCAACGAUGCAUAGCCGACCUGAGAGGGUGAUCGGCCACACUGGAACUGAGACACGGUCCAGACUCCUACGGGAGGCAGCAGUAGGGAAUCUUCCGCAAUGGGCGAAAGCCUGACGGAGCAACGCCGCGUGAGUGAUGAAGGUCUUCGGAUCGUAAAACUCUGUUAUUAGGGAAGAACAUAUGUGUAAGUAACUGUGCACAUCUUGACGGUACCUAAUCAGAAAGCCACGGCUAACUACG